UAAAACGGAAGGGGUACCUUGCUGCCUCCCGGGUGCGAUAGUCCAGCCGCAUCGGCAUCUACAAACGCGGCGGUCGAGGCGAAGAAGCUCCUGGCGACGACCUUGCUCCGGACGAAGGAUCGGAGAUGCCGUCUCUGCUGCGCCUGCGCCCGUCGGCUGUUCUUCGCACUCUUUCCGCGCCCCCGUAUUCUUCCUCUGCGACACAUAGCAGUAAAAAGGUGAAUGAGCCACUUGAUAUGAAGAAUAUAGACCUUGCGUUGGACAAAGUAUUUAUUAUAUGUGGGGGCAUUAGAAUUCUUGCUGCAGAGAGCAAGCCACGGAGUCUGUCUGCCCAGUGGGCAUUGGGUGUUAGUCAUAUUCUUGUUGUUGGGGCGAUUGCAAAGGCUUUGAACAUUGGAGAUCGAGACUCAGCCAUUUGAUAAUAUAAUAGACAAUAGCUGACCUGUCAGAGGGUGGAAAUGCUUCGGUGAGCAGACGUGGCGCACUACUAAUAUGAUGGAUUUACAGCAAUGACUGAAACUUUUUUGCUUUGCUUGUGUUUGGAGAAUAAAAUCUUACCUUUGGACUUUGGUCAUGUGGUGUCCUCUUAGAAAGUAUAAGGGGUGAGCUGGGACAAAGGGAGAAGGGGUUAGGAGGUCUUGGGUUACCAAGGAGAAACUUCAACACAUUUACUUAAGUUCUUAUGAAAUCCAGAAGAGAAAGGAAGAGUAUUCUGAGUAGUGGUAAACUUAAGAUCCUUCAAGCCAGGAGUACGAUAUUACACCUCUGGGUAGCCCGAACCUUUACAA